GACGAACCGUGCGAACGUUGUUCGGAAUCACUGGGCUUAAAGGGCGCGUAGGCGGGCUGCCAAGUCUGGGGUGAAAUCCCACGGCUCAACCGUGGAACUGCCUUGGAUACUGGCGGCCUUGAGGGAGGUAGGGGCAUGCGGAACUGUGGGUGGAGCGGUGAAAUGCGUUGAUAUCCACAGGAACUCCGGUGGCGAAGGCGGCGUGCUGGACCUCUUCUGACGCUGAGGCGCGAAAGCCAGGGGAGCAAACGGG
rnacentral:rRNA from 1 species